rnacentral:lncRNA from 1 species
GAGAAGCGCCACGAGACUGCUUACACCAAGAUUGUGGAGAAGCUCUUCGAAAUCGACGCUGAUGGCACCAUCUUGGGAUUGGCUGAUAUGAUGAAGAAAAAGAUCUCGAUGCCUGCGCAUUUGAUGUAUGACGGCCAAGAUGAUAACCUGUUUGAGCACUUCUCGACCGUUGCCCAGAGGCUUGGUGUUUACACGGCCAAGGACUAUGCUGAUAUUCUGGAGUUUCUUGUUGAACGGUGGAACGUUGAGACUUUGUCAGGCCUUUCUAGUGAAGGACACAAGGCUCAGGUAAAAUUACCAUCAUUAAACUUGUGAUGAAACCUAUCAGCUUAUGAAGUCUCUCUUAGUAGGUUUCUUCGUCAUGAAUAUAAUAUACUAGCUGGACGGCUUGAUCUGUUUUGUGUAUUUGAUCGGGGACAUGAACUUGAAUUCUGACUCUGUCAUUGCCUCUGACAGGACUUUGUCUGUGGAUUACCUGCAAGAAUCCGCAAGAUUGAAGAGAGAGCUCAAGGAAGAGCCAAAGAAGCAGCCAAAAACGUACCAUUCAGCUGGAUUUUUGGUCGGGAGAUUAGGGCUUAAGUAAACAUCUCUCUCUCUCUUUCAAAUGAUCCCCGAGUAAGCCGCCAUAAACAUCUCCACCGAUGACGUACCAGUCUUAAGACCUCGAAAGUUCAUUUGAAUAUGUUUUGUUUUAUACGGAACAUUGUAGAUAAUGUUAUGUUUUCUUGUUAGUCGAAGACCAUAAAAUGGUGUUUUGAGUGUUCCUAGUGAGUGAUAAUGUCUGGUUACCAAGAACAAAAAGACUUUUAAGAGUUUGGUUUUCUAUUUUCGAUUCUCUUUUUUGUUGUACCAGUACUUAAUAAUGUUCUCCCAUAAGCAAAGAACGGUUUGUAAUUUAAACCUCUUGUUCAAGUAACAACCAACCAAAAAGUGACCGUUUUAUUACCAUAACAAAGAUGAAACUUAAAAAUAACGUUUUAAUACAAUUGAAACGGAGUAAAGUCUUAUUAGAUGAAACCAUAACUGCAAACGCACAAAUCAAAACUGUUUCUUCUUUUACUCUCAAAUUAAAAGAAGAAGAAAGACUCUGUUCACGAUCUUGUUUAGCUUCUAAAAACUUUAAAGAUCAUGUUUCCCAAGAAACCAGCUGAUUCAUCUACCACACAUCAACACAGCUUCGACGAGUCUCGAUGGGUCAACAACGUCAGAAAAUCUCUCGACGCAGAGCUCGAAGACCACCCUCUCGAACAAGUCACAGUCAGCAUUUUCACCGUCCCUAAAGCUUUAAUGUCUACCCACCAAGACUCAUACACACCUCAGCGAGUCUCCAUCGGACCUUACCACUGUCUCAAACCAGAGCUUCACGAAACAGAGAGGUACAAACUAACGAUCGCUAGAAAAUUUCGAAACAAUUCCAAAUCUUUCAGGUUUCACGACCUCGUCGAGAAGCUGCAAUCAUUGGAGGCCAAGAUCAGAGCUUGCUAUCAUAAGUACAUCGCGCUGAGCGACGAGACUCUGCUGUGGAUAAUGGCGAUCGACUCUUCGUUCUUGAUCGAGUUUCUUAAGGUUUAUUACGGUUUCGGAAAGGUCGAGACUUUGAUUAACAGAGUCGGCCACAACGAGAUUCUUAGAGAUGUAAUGAUGUUAGAGAAUCAAAUCCCGUUGUUCGUUUUGAGGAAAACGCUCGAAGUUCAGCUCGAAUCGAAGGAAUCAGCUGAUGCUCUGUUGGUCUCUGUUCUCACUGGACUCUGCAGAGACCUCUCUCCCCUCGUUGUUAAAUUCGAAGAUGGUGAGAUUCUGAAGGCUGAGAUUCAUGAGUGCAAUCAUAUCCUAGACUUCUUGUAUCAGAUGAUCGUUCCAAGAAUCGAAGAAGAAGAGGAAGAAGAAGAAGAAAACAGAGCAGGCGAAAACAGAGCAUGUAAGCUUCUGAGAGAGAUGAAGCUUCAGUUCAAAAGGGUCUUCGCGUCUCGACCUGCUGAUGUCAUCCUGAGACUCCCAUGGAGAGUCAUAUCGAAUCUCCCCGGCUUCAUCGCUAUACUUUUAUCAAUGGGUCACACUGCUAUUUUAAUAGAAUAGAUGUGAUAUAAAUUUUAUGAUUAGUUAAUGAUUCCCUAUUUGCGUAUAUUGACGUUCGUGCAAGUCUUGAUAAUAAACGAUUUAAAUCUGACAUGUAUUCUUCGACUCUUCGGUUAGAAUAGUAGUUGUUGAUUUUUGAAAAUAAAAGUAGUCGAAAGUCCACCCAUCUCUCGAUUAAAAUGGUAACAAACGGUUGCAUAUUUAUCAUGCGUCCAAAACAAUAUAACUGUCCAAUAACUAAAUUACCUUUAUGCCAUUAGUGAAGGGUAACUAGACCUUUGUAAAAGUGAUGGUAAAAUAAGUAAUAUAAAUAGUUGGACUAAACUUAUAUCAAUAGGUCAAGAUGUUAGUUUUUAAUAUAAUAGACUAAAUUCUGACCCGUCCUUUAAGGACGGGUAUAUUUUUUGUUUUACAUCUUUUUAGGUCUUUUCAAUUGGUAAUUUAAAUAUAAGUUUAAUAACAUAAAGCAUAAUAAAUAAUAUUUUAAAUAAUGAUAAAGAUAAAAAAAAUAAUAAUUGGACAUACUUUUAUCAAUGGGUCACAGUGCUAUUUUAAUAGAAUAGAUGUGAUAUAAAUUUUAUGAUUAGUUAAUGAUUCCCUAUUUGCGUAUAUUGACGUUCGUGCAAGUCUUGAUAAUAAACGAUUUAAAUCUGACAUGUAUUCUUCGACUCUUCGGUUAGAAUAGUAGUUGUUGAUUUUUGAAAAUAAAAGUAGUCGAAAGUCCACCCAUCUCUCGAUUAAAAUGGUAACAAACGGUUGCAUAUUUAUCAUGCGUCCAAAACAAUAUAACUGUCCAAUAACUAAAUUACCUUUAUGCCAUUAGUGAAGGGUAACUAGACCUUUGUAAAAGUGAUGGUAAAAUAAGUAAUAUAAAUAGUUGGACUAAACUUAUAUCAAUAGGUCAAGAUGUUAGUUUUUAAUAUAAUAGACUAGAUUCUGACCCGUCCUUAAAGGACGGGUAUAUUUUUUGUUUUACAUCUUUUUAGGUCUUUUCAAUUGGUAAUUUAAAUAUAAAUUUAAUAACAUAAAGCAUAAUAAAUAAUAUUUUAAAUAAUGAUAAAGAUAAAAGAAAUAAUAAUUGGACCAUACUUUUAUCAAUGGGUCACACUGCUAUUUUAAUAGAAUAGAUUUAAAUAUAGGUCUAAUGGCAUAAAACAUAAUAAAUAAUAUUUUAAAUAAUGAUAAAGAUAAAAGAAAUAAUAGUUGGACGAUACUUUUAUCAAUGGGUCACACUGCUAUUUUAAUAGAAUAGAUUCUGGAUGAUGUGGUUAUGUCUAAAAGGACACUUAUUUUGCCAGGUCCGGUUCGUGUAGUCUUGUUAGCCUGUUCUUAAGUAAAGAGCGUUGGAUUAUGACCAGUUUAAGGUCUGUAUCUACUCUUACACGUUUAAAAUAAGUGCAGAUUUAAUAAUGGUUCUAGCUGGGCCAGAGUGGACCGGCUAGUAUUAGACGUACCAUAACCAAGGACUACGUUAUUCAACAUAUAACCGCGUAAUGAGAAUAUGAUAUAAUUUGGGGUGAUGGUUCUGUAGAUAACUAAUAAAUGCAUGGAAGAACUAACUUACCAUGCCAAGGAACAGCAUGUGCACAUUAUCAUAACUCACAAAGCCUCUCUGUCAUCUACGCAGAGAUUCUUUCUCUCUCAAACACUCAUAAACACAUUAAUUAUCCGCUAGAGUUUGACUUUUUUUCCCGGAGGAAACAUGGCGUCGAACCAUGAGUUUCUUGCUCGGUUCGUCGAGGAGACAACGUUUUACAACCGAAUAGUUCUGAGCCACCUUUUGCCGGCGAAUCUAUGGGAGCCUUUGCCACAUUUCCUCCAAACAUGGCUCCGGAACUACCUAGCCGGAAACUUACUUUACUUCAUCUCCGGCUUCCUCUGGUGCUUCUACAUCUAUUACCUUAAACUCAACGUUUACGUCCCUCAAGGUGAGAUUAUUUUUUCAGUUCGUCUUAUUUUUGAGCUCUCUUUUUUUUUAAUGAAUCUACAAUAUUCUUCAGAUUCUGUUCCUACAAGAAAGGCAAUGAUUCUACAAAUAUAUGUGGCAAUGAAGGCUAUGCCUUGGUCCACACUUGUUCCAACUGUCUCUGAGUAUAUAAUCGAGCGUGGUUGGACCAAAUGUUACUCUACACUUGAUCAGUUCAACUGGUGCCUCUGUUUGGUUUACAUCGCGUUUUAUCUUGUUUUAGUUGAGUUUAUGAUUUAUUGGGUUCACAAAAUGACUCAUGACAAUAAAUUUCUCUAUAAGCAUCUCCAUGCAACCCACCAUAUGUACAACAAGCAAAACACACUCUCUCCAUUUGCUGGUUAGUCACAUUCUUAUUUCUUAAGAACUCUCUUUCAAACCUGCUUGCCCUGGGAGUUAACUUUAACCUUAUCUUCGAUAAUGUUGAAACUAACAUUCAAAUCGAACGGCCGGUCUAUAAAUUUGGUGCUAAGAUUCAUGAGUUUCCAACUUAGUUACAAUUGGCAAUAAGUGGAUUGGUCUAGAUGUCUUAUAUAUUAUUUAUGUUUCAUCGAAACUCUUAAUUUGGGGGAUUUUAUUCUUAUACUCUCUUUAGUGAUUAAACUUCAUGACCUAUUAAUCUUUACAUAGUCCCAAUACUUGGUAAUAAAUUUUUUCUGUCAACUUGGUAAUAUAUAACAUUGCUUGAAAGUUUUUCGGGUUUUCAGGGCUUGCGUUCCAUCCAUUGGAUGGGAUACUUCAGGCAGUACCGCAUGUGAUAGCUCUGUUCAUAGUGCCGAUACAUCUCAUAACACAUUUGAGUCUUUUUAUUAUGGAAGGGAUAUGGACAGUGAGCAACCAUGAUUGCAUCAAUGGUAACAUAUGGCCUAUAAUGGGUGCAGGACACCAUACCAUACACCAUACAACAUACAAGCAUAACUAUGGCCAUUAUACCAUAUGCAUGGAUUGGCUGUUUGGCUCACUUAAGGUCCCUUUAGCUGAAGACGACAGCUUUAAUGAGAAAGAAAAGUGAUAUGUUCAACGUACACAUUUUUUUUGUUGUCCUUCAUGUGUUUUUCUACUCCUGAGUCUUAAACCUUUGUAAUAUCACUUUGUUAGAAUAAGAAACAUGAUUGCACUAUUAGCUACAAAGUUUCUUACUUGUCUUCAAAGAAUACUUAGUUUGGUAAGUAGAAGGUUGAUAAAGAUACAACACUAGCAUCUAUAAUAGGCAAAGUUUGUACUUUUCAGUUAAGGUAAGAAAUCUAAAAACAUAAAAAUAGAGAAAAUUAAAGGUAGUAUAAAAUAUAGCCAAGUAUACGCUUUCAUAAUCAACUAGUUCUUGUAGAUGGGUCACAUAGAAAGCAUAAAUAUCUGCCAAUGCUCCCACUUGUGUUGAAUGGGUUGUCCCACAGAGUCACAGAUCUCUAUGCCUACACAUUUAAUAUUGUUAUGGCUCCUUUAACUACUGUGAUGUUUAAGUGCAGACUUUUCUCAGAUCAGAAGAAAACCAGUUAGUUGGGGCAAUGACAUAUUUAGCUCACCAUAAAAUUGCUAAAAAAAAAAGCUCACCAUAAGAAUGAGUUGUGAAAUAUAGAAUCACCAAGUCAUUAUUAGAAACGUUGUCAAUGGAUUUGAUUCUUGAUGUUUAAAACUGUUGGGAUUAGUCGAAGCAUAAUUUAGGCCCAAUAAUUUGACAAAAGAAUGAGUCAUAUAUCAUUCGGCCCAUGGGCCUGUGAAAAAAGCAGCGAAAAAUAUCUGAGUGUGGCAUUGACGUAAAUAAAAGAGCACCUGAGGGAUAUUCUAGAGAAGAAAAAUAAAAGUUGCAUACAUACACAUGUCCAUGGCUCGAUCAUCACGCCCACCCAAAACCUUCACAUUUGUCACAGUCUCGUAGCAGCAAUCAAACAUAGAAAUAAUCGACCUUCGGGAUCCGUCCUUGUUCUUUAUUUAAAUCACUUCCAUUUAUCGAGUUUGUUAGAGUCUUAGAGAAUAAACUAAGAGAAAAAUGGCGAUGGCUAUGAGUCGGAUCGUACUUUCGCCUUCUUCUUACGCCUAUCGUCCUCGUCAAGCUCGUGGAUCCAGAUCCUCCAUUGCUUCUUCGAUUCGUUCCGCUACUACGUGAGCCUUUUCUCCCUUCAUUGUCGUAAUCAUAUGUUUUGCUGAUCUGUGUGUUUUGGAUUGAAUGCCGAUGAUGAAUCUCUGUUAUCACCAAUGUUCAAAAAUAGCUAAGGCUGUAACUAGUCGUAUUAGCAACUAGGCGGAUUAUUUGGAAUCUAGGCCUAGCCUUCCUGGGGUUAACAAAUUAUUGACUGAUUUGAUGUAUUUUUACAUUCGUGUAAGAUAUUUUAGUUUUUAGAUCUAAUUAUAAAAUUAGUUCGAUGAAUUACUAAAAUUAGAUAUAUAUAUAAAACAAAAAAAAAAUAGUCAAAAUUUGUGGAUUUGUACCAACAUUAUUAACAAAUUUAGACUAAUUUAAAUUAAUUUAGAAUGGCUUAAACCGAUUUAAAAUAGCUUAAAUCUUAUAUAAAUCGAAUAUUUUAAAAAACCAUUUCGGCUCGCAUCGAUUUUUAGGACAAAUUUUAUUAUCAUGGUUAUUACUAAUUCAUCGAGGAAGACAUAUAUACUGUCUGAAGCUUAUUGGUGUUUUUUCAGGAUUGUUGUGUGUAGUACUGCUAAGUCUAUUUUAUUUUCAUCACUCGCUCAAGUCCUGAGUUUGAAACUCUAUUUGGUUUAAUUACAGGGAGGUUACUAACGGAAGGAAGCUCUACAUCCCUCCACGAGAAGUGCAUGUCCAAGUUAAACACUCCAUGCCGCCGCAAAAGCUCGAGAUGUUCAAAUCCUUGGAAGGAUGGGCUGACGAGACCCUCUUGACCUACUUAAAACCCGUCGAGAAGUCGUGGCAGCCGACAGAUUUUCUCCCGGAAGCCGAGUCAGAAGGGUUCUAUGACCAAGUCAAAGAGUUAAGGGAACGGUGUAAGGAGCUUCCCGACGAGUAUUUCGUGGUGCUUGUCGGUGAUAUGAUCACUGAAGAAGCGCUUCCGACUUACCAGACCAUGUUGAACACGUUGGAUGGUGUUAGGGAUGAGACGGGAGCUAGUCCUACUCCUUGGGCGGUGUGGACUAGGGCGUGGACUGCUGAAGAGAAUAGGCAUGGGGAUUUGCUUAACAAGUAUCUUUAUUUGUCUGGGAGAGUUGACAUGAGGCAGAUUGAGAAGACUAUUCAGUACCUUAUUGGCUCUGGAAUGGUAAGCUUCUCUGAUUUGUAUUCUAUGUUUCUCAUGUAUGAUUAAUUUAUAGGCCUGCCGGUUCGGGUAAAAUUUUGCUGAAUUGAACCGUAAAAAAGUUCGGUUCGGUUCUUGGCUAGUUCGUAUCAAAAAAUUUUACCGAAAUUUUUGGUUUAAAUUGAAUAAAAUUCAAAAAAAAAUUUUGUUCGGAUUUUGAUUAGUUCUGUUAUUUUGAUUCGGAUUUUGGUUAGUUCGGUUCGGAUUUUCGGUUAAUAUUGGUACUGUUUGAUUGUUUUUGUUACCAAACAUCCGAACCGAAAACCGAACUUUUCGGUUCGGUUCGGUUAAAAAUCCCAGCUCUAAUUAAUUAUAUAUGACUGAUAUUGUUUUAUCUUCUUAGGAUCCAAAAACUGAAAACAACCCUUACUUGGGUUUCAUCUACACAUCCUUUCAAGAAAGAGCGACCUUCAUCUCCCAUGGAAACACUGCCAGACACGCUAAAGAUCUUGGAGAUUUGAAACUUGCGCAGAUAUGCGGGACCAUUGCUGCUGACGAGAAGCGCCACGAGACUGCUUACACCAAGAUUGUGGAGAAGCUCUUCGAAAUCGACGCUGAUGGCACCAUCUUGGGAUUGGCUGAUAUGAUGAAGAAAAAGAUCUCGAUGCCUGCGCAUUUGAUGUAUGACGGCCAAGAUGAUAACCUGUUUGAGCACUUCUCGACCGUUGCACAGAGGCUCGGUGUCUACACUGCGAAGGACUAUGCUGAUAUUCUGGAGUUUCUUGUUGAACGGUGGAACGUUGAGACUUUGUCAGGCCUUUCUAGUGAAGGACACAAGGCUCAGGUACAUUACCAUCAUAAAACUUGUGAUGAAACCUAUCAGCUUAUGAAGUCUCUCUUAGUAGGUUUCUUCGUCAUGAAUAUAAUAUACUAGCUGGACGGCUUGAUCUGUUUUGUGUAUUUGAUCGGGG